CGUCAAGUCCUCAUGGCCCUUAUGUCCAGGGCUACACACGUGCUACAAUGGCCGGUACAAAGGGCAGCAAAGCCGCGAGGUGGAGCCAAUCCCAAGAAAGCCGGUCUCAGUUCGGAUUGGAGUCUGCAACUCGACUCCAUGAAGUUGGAAUCGCUAGUAAUCGCGGAUCAGCAUGCCGCGGUCGAAUACGUUCCCGGGCCCGUU
rnacentral:rRNA from 1 species